rnacentral:tRNA from 1 species
GUUCAUGUAGCUUAAUAACAAAGCAAGACACUGAAAAUGUCUAGAUGAGUUAUAUAACUCCAUAAACA